UACGUAGGGUGCAAGCGUUGUCCGGAUUUAUUGGGUUUAAAGGGUGCGCAGGCGGCGUACUAAGUUCGUGGUGAAAUGGCCCCGCUUAACGGGGUCUCCGCCAUGGAUACUGGUAUGCUUGAGUUCGCCAGAGGGGGUUAGAAUGCGUGGUGUAGCGGUGAAAUGCAUAGAUAUCACGCAGAAUACCGAUUGCGAAGGCAGACCCCUAUGGCGCCACUGACGCUGAGGCACGAAAGCGUGGGGAGCGAACAGG
rnacentral:rRNA from 1 species